AUGGUCUUGGAGCAUUACAGCUCCACAGCUUUCACGGCCAUUGAGAACAACACGCUUGAUGACAGACCCAAAGUGUCUGUGAUCACGGAGUUCUCCUCAUUCUGGGAGGUAGAAAACACAGGCAAUGGAUGGUCUUGGAGCGGGGACGGAGUUCGCCUCACUUGGAGGGAAGACGUCUAUCAGAAAACUCGAUUUCUUAUACUUCCAGCUCUGUGACCGGAAAAGCUAGGGCUCUUUUCCAGUUCCACUCCAAACAAUCCUAAGAAAUGACUCUGAUUAGCUUUGCUCAGGUUACAUGCUCACCCCUGGACCCGAAACUGGGGUCAUGGGAACUGGUACCUAUGUUCGGCUAGACCAAGGUGAUGUAUCUUCCCUCUUCCCUUCCCAUUAGUCAACAGGUGGACGAUUUAAUUUGGAUUACAAGCCUGGAAGGAUGGGGAGAGCAGUAUGCUAAAGGAAUUAGGGCUACUGAAAGUAGGACAGAAACGAUUGCUGUCUAGCAUCACAGAACUGAGUGCGUCUGUCUGAUUCCAGAACAUAAGCAUCCUGUGCUCUAUCUCAUGCCUUGCAGAGAAGAGGAAUGUGGCUGGAGAUCUUAAGAGGAAGCUCUUUAUGAAAAACAGAAUCAACAUUCCUCUGCUUCUUAAGUUAGUUGAAAUUUGUUUUUUUUUUUCCACUUACAUGUUCUUUCAUUCUAAAAAAAAGUGUCACAUCACUGUAAAAUGGAGAGCUGAACUAAUUCAUGGUCUAUAUGCUUACCUGUACAUUUAUUGAACCAAGAGUUAUAGAUUUGAGGAAAAUGAUAAAGUUUUUUAGGUUGCUCAAAAAUGUGAUUUCACAUUUUUUUCUGCAGAACACACCAUUGAUAUCAUUGGUUUCCUGCAUGCUUAAACGUUCAAAGAAUUUGGUACCAAGGCCUGUGGCUUGAAUGUCCUAAGCUAGAUGUGUGGGUAACAUUCUUUGGGUUGCUGGGGAUACUCUUCUUCAGGCCACCAUAAGAAAGAAAGAGCCCAUUGUAUGGAUUCCUGAAGGUUGGGAUUUUGCUGACCUGGGAUGCUGCAGGAAUCACCUAGAUGCCAGGACCACUAUUUCUGGUCUUUCUUAUGAAUUUUAUGGUGUCUCUCUACAUGUCUCCAUGUCUCCUUAAAUCUCUGCUCCAUCCUCUUCUCAUUUGUAGCUGGGCAAUCUUAUCAACACCUUGAAUCUCAAAUUUCAGAUGAGACUUCCACAGUGGUUUCCAUAAUUAUCCCCUCCCUCUUUCAGUCCUUUAUUCCAGGUGACCACAAAUAUCACCGACCACCCCACGGAUGGGAUCUCUUGGGUCAGAUUUCCAUCUUGAUUCGAUCAGAAGCCUCCCAUGAACAGCGAUGUGGGUGGUGCUGCUUUCCUGAAUAGGGAAUUUUGGGCCCGCCAGUAGUUUGGGC
rnacentral:lncRNA from 1 species